AGACAUGCCGAGCAGGUCCUUUUUCCUUUGGAAGCAGGAAUACAUCCAUAACAUGCUACAUUUACAAAGGGUUCUCAGGGCUGCCAACCUUACAGUAGAGGUUAAGUAGUGGUAUAUUUCUCCUAUAAAC
ensembl:snoRNA